rnacentral:rRNA from 1 species
UACGUAGGGGGCAAGCGGUAUCCGGAUUUACUGGGUGUAAAGGGAGCGUAGACGGUGAUGUAAGUCAGAUGUGAAAGCCCAGGGCUCAACCCUGGGACUGCAUUUGAAACUAUGUCACUAGAGUGCAGGAGAGGUAAGUGGAAUUCCUAGUGUAGCGGUGAAAUGCGUAGAUAUUAGGAGGAACACCAGUGGCGAAGGCGGCUUACUGGACUGUAACUGACGUUGAGGCUCGAAAGCGUGGGGAGCAAACAGG